rnacentral:piRNA from 1 species
UCCUUCUUUGUCAGAACUGUGCCUGAGAA